CUAUUUACUUCGUUUGUUACUAUUGCUAUGUCAUUUAAACAUUUACAACUCUUAGAAUUAAUAAACACUAAUUGUUUCCUAGCUCCUUGUGGAUUGGAUCCCUAAGUAUUACAUCUGAACCUCUUUUGAUGAGAGUAACACUCCUUAGGAUAAUUUGAGUGGUAUCAAGCACCCGAUGGAUUGUAUUGUGAUGUUUAAGGAUUUGUUUAUUGACAUUGAGAUCAAUGGAUUCUAUGAAGACUACAUUUCCUGCAAGAUUUUCCUCCAUUCUCUCUCUGGGGAUGCAUCUAGUUGGCUCAAUUAACUGCAGCUAGGAUUUCUAACCUGCUGGGAGGACACUUAAAACGGCUUCCUUAAACAAGUUUCUUGAUGAUCCUGCAGCCACUCCAAAGAGCCAAAAGAAGGCUAAGCUGAAACUAAUCCUAGAGCGGGUGCAGAAGAUGAACGUAGACUUCACUGAGAAAUUGGAUUCUGUCCAUUUAUUCGACUUCUGUUUCUUGAACUUUCACAAACUAACAUGUUAAAGUGACUAAAAGCUUUGUGUCUUCUUCAGGUUGGAAAAAUGUAGCUAAACACAUUAUUCACAAGGCCCGCAUAGGCCCAUUUAAAUAGUGGGCGGGAUUGGUCAUGUCUUUCAGAGACUGGGGUAGCAAACGGGAUGACCCUCAUAGACCCGUUCGAACUGCAGACCAAACUCGAAUUUAGGUUUGACACACUUCUUUCUCUUCAAUUAUUUACCAUUUUAUGCAGCUCAUAUUUUGGUGGAACCAUCCUUUGGCUUACCGAUAACAACUCGAACUUAGGUUUAUGGGUAACCAACCUCCUAUUUCAUUUUAACUAUUGAACCAAAUUGACUUAUUCCCGAAAUUUAUAAAACUAAUAUAUAAUAGUAAUACUAAACACCUUUUUUAAACAAUUCUUAGAUUAAUUUCGUUUACUCUUUUAUUUUUUGAAAAGUUGCUAAAUCUAGAGGCGGAUCUACUUGUCUGGAAGAGGUGUCAGCUGACAGACAUAGAAAAUAUAUAUGUGGUUUGUUAAGCUAGUACAAGUGAAUUUUGACAGCUAUGGUGGUGAUUUCACGAACAUGACUCUUACAAAGUGAUAGUUUUGUAAUUUACACCUUCACAAUUCACUAUUCUACACGUUUUUUUUUUGUCACAGAAUUCUAUCUUUUAUUCUUAUAGAUGAUUUUCAUCAAGUUUUUAUCGAUUCUCAAUUAUUUAUUUAUACCCGAACCAUAUAAAUCAAAGCGAACCGAACCAAAACACAAUUAACCAAUGCCCAAAAGGGACAAUUGUUGAAAAUAAUACACAUGUGUCGAUAAACCUUAUUCAAUUCUUUCCCAUCCUUCGGACUCUCUUCAUCUCUCUCCCACUUCUCUCAUCUAAACCCUAAAACUUGGGAUUUUCUCACUCAGGACCGAAGUUCUGCUGCAAAGAAAGGUGGCACCAAAGAAGGAGAAGGCAAGGUAAAAACAAUCGUUACCGAAGAAGAAAAGACAUUCGCUAAGAACUUCAACAUAAUGGAUCUCCCCGACAUCCUUACCGGAUUUCCUCCGCAUCUGCAACUCCAACGAACUCGUGUCCUCUAUAAAAACGACGCUCCUAUUCAUGUACGAACUUCCUUCUCUCUCUAUUUUACUUCCAAACAGCUUAGCGUUUGUGAGUUUUUUUGGUCUACAAUAUCAGAUCAUGGGUUUGGUCUGUUUUGUCAAAAUUCAAAUCAUAUGUGUGAUGAUUGUUUGAAAGCCUGAAGUCUCUAAUGUUUUUUCUGUAAACGGCGAGUGUCGUUUACUCGGGUGCCUAUAACGGUGUGGGAGUAGACAACAAUGUGAAACUUGAAAACUUUUCUGAGAAUUUCAAAGUUGAUGUCAUCGAAAUUUCAAAUGACGGCAUGGAAUUGACAUUUGAUAUGGUCAGUAUCGAUGCAGCUAUCGCCAUUGCCUUCAGAAGGAUCCUUCUAGCUGAGGUCUCUCUCUCUCUGAAUCUUGAUUCUUUAGUCUUUUGUUUUAAGGUGUUUCUUUUUUUUGUUUUUUUUUACAAUGCAGCUUCCUACAAUUGCUUUUGAAAAAGUAUUUAUAGCAAACAACACAUCCAUUGUUCAAGAUGAAGUUAUUGCUCAGAGGAUGGGGCUUGUACCUAUUGCUGCAGAUCCUAAGCUCUUCGAGUAUUUAUCUGGUAAGAAGACCUUAUGUGGCAUUUGAUUCUUUAUAUGUAUCUCAGUUUAGUUAUUUAUCUCUGUGUCUAUAGAAAACGACCAGCCAAAUGAAAAGAACACCAUUGUUUUCAAACUCCAUACCAAAUGUGCAAAAGGUGAAGGACGUAAGAAAGGUAAUGUUGUUUUCUUUGGUUAGAGCAUCGGCAAAGUUCCUAAUCUCUCAUUAAAGAAUGUUGUUGUCUGUUUCUUUUCUUUCGUUGUUGUAGUUUUAACAAAGGAAUUGAUUUGGUUACCAAAGGGGAGAGAGUUGGUUAAAGAAUCAGGAGAUUCGAACUCAAAGCCUAAAACUUACACUUCCUUCAUCCGCAGCCAAGAAGAGUCCUUCCCUGAAUUCAGUGAUAAUCCAAUCACUCCGAGCUAUCCUGACAGAUUGAUCGCAAAACUCGGCCCUGGUCAUGUAGGUAUUUUGCAAUUAGAGAUGAAUCAAACACUUGGUCUCCUCUAAAAUUUAUCUUCUUUAUGUAGGAGAUUGAGCUGGAAGCUCAUGCUGUUAAGGGCAUUGGUAAAACACAUGCAAAGUGGUCGCCAGUAGCGAUGACUUGGUAUAGAAUGCUUCCUGAGGUGAGAAGUUUAUUUGACCUCAGCUUUAUUCUUGUGUCAUCUUCAUCUUUUGUGCAAUGCUUUUUGUUUGGUAACAUAUAUUAGGUUAUUCUAGUAAGGGAAGUUGAGGAUGAGGAUGCUGAACGACUCGUAGAAGCCUGCCCGGUGAAAGUUUUUGACAUUGAAGACUUGGGCAAUGGUAAAGUAAAAUCCUUCAAACAAUAGGAGAUUCUCUGCAAUUCUGAGUGUUUUAUAUUGACUUUUCAAAAAUGGAAAACAGGUAGGAAGAGGGCAAGGGUAGCACGGCCGCGUAACUGCACGUUGUGUAGGCAAUGCGUGAGGAAAAAUUAUGGAGAGGAAGUAAAGGGAGAAGGAAAACAGCGGAAAAAAUGGAUAGAGAAUGUGGCUCUUCGACGUGUCAAGAACCAUUUCAUCUGUAACAAAAUAUGAAACAACAUUCAUUUUGCUCUACAGUUCAUGAUAUGUCUUAAGAAGAAAACAUAAUUUGAAUUUUGUUAUUUGUGUGUGUUUUCAGUUAAAAUUGAGUCUAGUGGAUCACUGCUGCCGGAUGUUCUCUUCACUGAAGCUGUCAAGAUAUUGGAAGAUAAAUGUGAACGUGUUAUCGCUGAUCUUUCCUGAAAAGAUAUUUUGAUUGCUUUGGUGGUCCAUUACUGGUAUGGUUCCGGUUUAGUUCAGUUUUGAGUCUUGUAUUGAAAGUUUCUCAGUAAUACCAAGAACAUUGAAAUGUUCUGUUAUAGCAUUGGUUCGUUUAAGUUCAAAUUGAAAUUCAAUCAUCUUGAUUCUAACUAGCGUCUGAAGUUGUCUAAAAAGAACGACCCAAGCAUGAGUAACCGGGGUUUUGUACUGGUCUUAGUUUUAACUUUUUCUUUGUAACUCAGUUUUGGUUUAACUUUAGAAAGAAUUAAUCCGUCUUCUUACAGUGACAGCCCUAAUCAGUUUCUAGGAACCGAUAGCUGAAAUUAAAGAUUGUAGCUUUCCGAUCAAACACCCCACUUAGAAAACCAAAUUCAAAAGAGUUUAAGCAAAUGCGAUUUUGAUUGAGAGAAAGAAACCUUUUUGUUCUAGUAAUUCAGUUCAUCAUAUAAGUAAUAAAAGGGGAAUAUCAAUACAAUACUAAAAUGGGAAUAAGGGCUCCCCUCAUGCUUCCACAUCCUCAAAAAUAAUCAGCCAAUAGGAAAUCAGUAAUGAGCCACGUCACACACCCAUCUCUUUCUCGAAUAUUCUACCCUUUCGUGUUUCAAAAAAAAAAACUACCCUGUUCAUAUUCUUUCUUUCUCUCCCGAGUCAUCUCCUUCUGAAACUCGAUCUGAUCACUGAGAAUCUACGGCGACGAAGAAGGUGGAGGAGGAAGAUGAAGAAUGAGAAUCUCAGGCUAUGUAAUCGUUGUUCUAUCUGUAACUGUAUUCUAUUCCGUCGAUCGUAGCGUUCACGCGCGUCCCGUCGUCCUCAUCCUCUCCAACGACGAUCUCAACAGUGGCGGCAACGAUCCCGGAGUCGGAGACUCCUUUAACUUCGAGGAAUUCGGCGAAUCCGAACCCAAAUCCGAAGAGGAGCUCGAUCCCGGCUCGUGGCGACAUAAAUUUUGAUGGGUUGAUGGAGGAAGUGGUGGAGGAGAUAGAGGCGGCUUCUUCAUCCAGAGAUCCGCACUCGCAGUCGCUGAUGGGCUUCGUCUACGGGACGGGGAUGAUGAGGGAGAAGAGCAAAAGCAAAUCCUUCCUUCGCCAUAACUUUGCUGCAGAAGGUGAGAACAUGCAGUCAAAGAUGACACUUGCCUUCACGUAUCUGCGACAAGAUAUGCAUGAUAAGGCUGUGAAACUAUAUGCUGAACUAGCAGAAACCGCUGUGAAUAGCUUCCUGAUCUCAAAGGACUCUCCCGUGGUGGAACCAACUAGGAUCGGGACUGAAGAAAACAAAGGCGCUCUAAGGAAAUCACGAGGGGAGGAGGAUUAGGAUUUUCAGAUAUUGGAGUAUCAAGCGCAGAAAGGCAAUGCUGCGGCUAUGUACAAGAUUGGACUGUUCUACUACUUUGGUCUGCGAGGGUUAAGGCGUGAUCACACCAAGGCGUUGCACUGGUUUUCGAAGGCGGUGGAGAAAGGAGAGCCGAGGUCUAUGGAACUAAUUUUUUUUCCUCAUGUAGUCAUAUAAUGUUCAUUUGUAUCUCUAUUUUUGUUACAUGUUCUAUUAAAUUUGAAAUUUUUAGGCAUAAAGUUAAAUGCAAUAAACAUUGUUUCAGUCGGUCGCCUCCUCUGCCUCUGGAAUUUAUGGGAAUCAGCCUCCUCUUACUAGAUGAACAGGUAUCGACAUCUUCUCCUUCUCUGGAAUAAUAUAUUCAAUCUCUGUCUAAUCAAUACUCAAUAAUCGGUUAACAACUUCACGCUCAAUAUUGUGAUCAACCUUAGAAUUCCCUGUAUAGCUUUAAAUUAACGUUUGCAUAUGAAAAUUCAACUAAGUCUACUUAUAUUACGUUUGGAUUCGCUGAAAAAUUCAUCCACUUCCAGAUGUAGUUGGCCAAAUCCUUUCCGUUCAAGGCUCUGAUCUGAACAACUCUGCAGCAACAACUCGACUUGCCGUCCGUUUCCUCACUGACCCGUAAGCCAUGAAUUCAUUUUUAAAUAGUUUUGUUCCUUAUCUCAUUUAGUUCUUUCUUUCAAAUAAUUCCAUUGUGGUGUAAUGGAAUGAAAUUCACCACGGAGAAGCCAAAAAUAUUUGGAGGUAUGGUUAUCUACUUUAAAGAAUAAAACAGGUUCAUAGUUAUAUUUUCCUGCCAGAAAAAGUAUUCUUCAUACUUAUAUAUUAUAUUUUACUUAAUAAAAUCAUCUAAGAAACACUUGGGCUUACGCAGAUAAUCUCUAUGACUCUAUCUAAACUCAACACCAGCAACAAAAGUUUACUUUGACAAUACCAUUCAUGCUACCAAAGAGUUUACAAACAGGUAAAUCAAGUCUUACCAGCCAUAUUAAUAUCAUGUCUUGGCCACACUUAAAUGUGCUAAUCUUUCCCACAUACUGCCUUCACUACAACUCAUAUUUCAAUAUCUGUUAGUCUUUUCGAAACAUACUUCCUCCAUGCAGCUUUGGAGGUGCUGCAGCGGAGGUCUUUCCCGAGUUGAUAUGAUGGAAGGAAGAAAAAAAAAGAGUUCAUAUCAAUUAGAGAACUUCACACGUUCAUUGCCAACUCCAGUGAAGAGGUAAAACUCACGCUUUCAACAAUCUUUAGUACUCCUAUGUGGCUUCAAAAUAGUAACAAGUAAUGUUAGGACUUUUCUCCCCAUGAAGACAGAAGAAGCUGAUUUUCUCUGUAAGGCUUAGAUUGUGUGAGUUGUCCAGCAAAAUGGCUUGUCGUUUGUAUCUUGCACAGGUUGCAACAGGAAGCUCGCAAAAUCUCUCUGGUGCAACAGAUGUGUUUCUCCUAACGCACCGGGGUCAUCGGGUAUGUACUGUUCUUCCCGAUCCAUAUUUAAAGGAACACCCUAAUUUGAAUAUAUGUGCACGUUUGACAUACUCUCUCUCUCUCUGCUGUUCUGUGUGAACUAGCUGUUGAUGACGGAAAGGAAAGUGCAACUUUUGUUGUCUUUGACAGGGAGAUGAUCAAACUCAUCAAGAAAGAGGCAAAGUCUGGCUCCUGCGUAGAUACGUUUUAACUUCUUAGAUUGGUUUUAAAAAAAUUUACCUUACUCUAAAUGCACCCACAAACGCCAAGCCUACUACAGAUUAGUGGCAGUGGGAGGAAUGGAGCUACCAAAAUGCCCCCAGGAGCUAGCUGGUAAUGGAUACCUUUUCAGCUACGUGUAACUCCAUAUAAUUUCACCUCCAACCACCACACAUUCACCGUCUCUGCCAUUAGUGACAACCUCUUCUUUUGCUCUCAGAGUGGCAACAGCAACAAAGCUCCAGUCGUGGAUCUCAAAUCUGGACAGCCAACAGAAAUUUGCCAGCUCCAGUGGUGAUGCGGCGAAGAUAGCACUAGGAAAUGAUGGAGCAAAUCAGCCAGGUUCUGCAGACUGCAGGCAACGACAAAACCCGCAAACGCCCACGUGAGUGAUAGAUAGUAUCAAGGCUAUCAAACCGUCAACUCCACUUAGCUUUUGUCUCAUUUUAAUUUAUUAUGAUAUCCAUAUAUUUUCCCUAUAUUGAACUUUGGUUCUUUUCGAUUUUCUGAAAAUUUCUCUUAAAGAAUUAAAUAAUUCGUAAAAAUAUAUACUACUCCAAGAUUCAAACGGAAAUGGAAAAAAAUACAAAAAUCACAUCAUACCAUAUAUAAGAACAAAAUAG